rnacentral:lncRNA from 1 species
AUAUAAUAAUAGCUGUAAUAAUAAAAUAUAAUAUACCUGUCCUGCAGGUCACACGUCUCACAGGUUUUCUCUGGAUCUGGACUCUCAGGAUUUGGACAGCUCCUGUGAGAGCCAGAAGAGCUCAUUCGAUUCACUCGCCAGGAAGCAGCAGCAUCACGAAUGGCCUCCUGCUAAAGGAGAAACCGACGGCAGCUUCACCAACCACAGCAAACCUGCGCAGGGAUUGGCGGAUCAGAACUGGUAUGUUGGUGCGGUUAGUCGUGUGGACGCUGAACACGCUCUUCACCUGGUCAACCGGGUAUAACACACCUUCAUUUCACUCCAGCAUCAUCACAUUUGUUAACAGUUCAGAGACACAAGAACGUACAGAAAUCACACUCAGAAAACAAACAUGUGGACUGUGCGUGCUCUGAACUGAAGGAUUGGGGUGGUUCAGAACCACAACCGGCUGGUUCGGACCGGGAAGCUUGAUGCGCUGAUCCGCUUUCAGAGGAGUUAACCUCAGUUUUUGAUCUUCGGUUGAGAAUCGAGGAAGGCCCAUUCCAACCGACGAUGACCUGCGUUUCUUGGCUUUUCUCUUUUCUUUCUUGUGUUUUUUACGUGGUGGAGAGUCUUGGUGCUUCUCUUCUCUUUCACAAAGGU